CCUACGGGGGGCAGCAGUGAGGAAUAUUGGUCAAUGGCCGGAAGGCUGAACCAGCCAAGCCGCGUGAAGGACGAAGGUGCCAAGCAUUGUAAACUUCUUUUGUCAAGGGACAAAAUCAGGCUCGAGAGCCUGACCGAGGGUACUUGAAGAAAAAGCAUCGGGUAACUCCGUGCCAGCAGCCGCGGUAAUACGGAGGAUGGGAGCGGUAUGCGGAUUUAUUGGGGUGAAAGGGUGCGUAGGCGGGACUGUAAGUCAGCGGGGAAAGCCCGGGGCUUAACCCCGGCGGAGCCUGUGAAACGGGAUGUCUUGAGAUUUCGAGAGGUAUGCGGAAUGCGCAGUGUAGCGGUGAAAUGCGUAGAUAUUGCGCAGAACUCCGAUGGCGAAGGCAGCAUACCGGCGGCGAUCUGACGCUGAGGCACGAAAGCGUGGGUAUCGAACAGGAUUAGAUACCCGAGUAGUC
rnacentral:rRNA from 1 species